rnacentral:rRNA from 1 species
UGGGGAAUAUUGGACAAUGGGCGAAAGCCUGAUCCAGCCAUGCCGCGUGUGUGAAGAAGGCCUUUUGGUUGUAAAGCACUUUAAGCGAGGAGGAGGCUACUUAGAUUAAUACUCUAGGAUAGUGGACGUUACUCGCAGAAUAAGCACCGGCUAACUCUGUGCCAGCAGCCGCGGCAAUACAGAGGGUGCGAGCGUUAAUCGGAUUUACUGGGCGUAAAGCGUGCGUAGGCGGCUUUUUAAGUCGGAUGUGAAAUCCCUGAGCUUAACUUAGGAAUUGCAUUCGAUACUGGGAAGCUAGAGUAUGGGAGAGGAUGGUAGAAUUCCAGGUGUAGCGGUGAAAUGCGUAGAGAUCUGGAGGAAUACCGAUGGCGAAGGCAGCCAUCUGGCCUAAUACUGACGCUGAGGUACGAAAGCAUGGGGAGCAAACAGG